GACGAACGCUGGCGGCAGGCCUAACACAUGCAAGUCGAACGAGUGGCGGACGGGUGAGUAAUGUCUGGGAAACUGCCUGAUGGAGGGGGAUCAAUACUGGAAACGGUAGCUAAUACCGCAUACCAUCAGAUGUGCCCAGAUGGGAUUAGCUUGUUGGUGGGGUAACGGCUCCCCAGGGCGACGAUCCCUAGCUGGUCUGAGAGGAGGACCAGCAACACGGGAACUGAAACACGGUCAGACCUCCUACGGGAGGAAGCAGUGGGGAUUAUUGCACAAUGGGCGCAAGCCUGAUGCAGCCAUGCCGCGUGUAUGAAGAGGGCCUUCGGGUUGUAAAGUACUUUCAGCGGGGAGGCGUUACCCGCAGAAGAAGCACCGGCUAACUCCGUGCCAGCAGCCGCGGUAAUAC
rnacentral:rRNA from 1 species